GGCCUUGGAAAACCAGAGAGAUUAGAGCGGUGAGUCGCGCCGGUCACGUUGGACGCCUGCGCGUUAGGAGAUUCUGGAGCCAGAACAGCGGAAUUGCCUUCGCCCGCCCUGCCCCUCGCCUGCUUCAGAAGCUUCCAGGAACUCCCGGGUCGGCGACCCAGCCCGAGCCGCCUGGGGCCCCAAGGGAAGCUGAACGCCCUGUGGGCUCCUGGGAUGGUUCUUCCCGUUCUUUGCGCCGCCUUCACCCAUUGAAGAGCCUGUGCCCACCCUGCCCAGUCGCUCUCGGGGCCGCGGAGGAGCUUCCGCUGCCAUCUUCGGAUCCUGUGUUCCGCACGGGGGCUCCACCAGGGCAGGGAUGGUGAAUGGGGAAAUGGAGAGAGAACCUGAAAGAGCCCCAAACUCGAGGACCUAUUGCUCCCCAAGAAUAACAUCUUCCAGAAGAACUAGACAGAAAACUAGGCGUCUGGGAACUCUGAAAUCCUUGGAGGAGUAGCAUCAUCAUGACCCUCUGUGUUCCUUUUGGCAAAGGACUUGCUCCCAUUGUUUGCUUGUUCCAUUGUCUGUCUGUUAAAUAAAUAAA
rnacentral:lncRNA from 1 species